rnacentral:rRNA from 1 species
CCUACGGGAGGCAGCAGUGAGGAAUAUUGGGCAAUGGGCGCGAGCCUGAACCAGCCAAGUAGCGUGAAGGAUGACUGCCCUACGGGUUGUAAACUUCUUUUAUAAAGGAAUAAAGUGAGGCACGUGGGCCUUGUUGUAUUUACUUUAUGAAUAAGGAUUGGCUAACUCCGUGCGAGCAGCCGCGGUAAUACGGAGGAUCCGAGCGUUAUCCGGAUUUAUGGGGUUUAAAGGGAGCGUAGGUGGGUUGUUAGGUCGGUUGUGAAAGUUGGCGGCUUAACGGUAAAGUUGCAGUUGCUACUGGCAGUCUUAGUGCAGUUGAGGUAGGCGGAAUUCGUGGUGUAGCGGUGAAAUGCUGAGAUAUCACGAAGAACUCCGAUUGCGAGGGCAGCUUACUAAGCUGCCGCUGACAUUGAUGCUCGAAAGUGUGGGUAUCAAACAGGAUUAGAUACCCGUGUAGUC